UCCGUCUGUGUGUGUGUGUCUGUCUGUCUGUCUCGUGACGGGACCGUCUCCCUCAGACAGACUCGGGGUCAAAGUGCUAGUGCAUGAGGAGAAGAGUUGUCAACACGCUGACUAAAUGGGUUUUGGCAAAAACAAAAAUCACAUCCCAUAAAUCCAUCGUCACGUUAACAAAAAAACACA